UACGAAGGGUGCAAGCGUUACUCGGAAUUACUGGGCGUAAAGCGUGCGUAGGUGGUUUGUUAAGUCUGAUGUGAAAGCCCCGGGCUCAACCUGGGAAUUGCAUUGGAUACUGGCAGGCUAGAGUGCGGUAGAGGGUAGUGGAAUUCCCGGUGUAGCAGUGAAAUGCGUAGAGAUCGGGAGGAACAUCCGUGGCGAAGGCGACUACCUGGACCAGCACUGACACUGAGGCACGAAAGCGUGGGGAGCAAACAGG
rnacentral:rRNA from 1 species